CUGAAUGUUGUCAACACACAGUUCCAACACCUCGAUUUAACACAAUACUCAUGAACACACCCCAUUAACAUCCACCUAUACACUUCAUAAUCUCAUCCCCAUAGAAAAUAGUACGAAGAGACCUCAAUUGACCACUCAGUUAUCAGAAAUAACACACCUUAUCUGAGAAAAACCACAACUUUUCAUGUCUAUAAGCGAAAUGAACGAGUAGGAGGAAGUACCGUUUGAUGAAGCAGAAACAGAGAAGCUCCUCAAGUUGAUUGGUACCCGCAAUACUAAAUUCGCCAUUCUUCCUCCUUUUUUACACUACUCUCUCUCCUUGCCGCCCUCUUUCUUUAUUGUCAUUGUUAUUAUUUUAUUUUUUUAUGCGAGGAACUCGCUGCCCUCUCUUUUUUUAAGAUAAGGGAGGAGACGUUUGAAGGAUCACAAUGGUCAACAAUUUCAACGGUCUAGAUUAUAAGCAACCGAAUAUCCAUUUCCCGGCUUGUGUCAAUGGUGUAUCUUGAGCCGCCGAAUCAUUAUAGCGUGUAUAUUAAGUCGUGCUGUGCACCAGCAGCACAGGUUAGCAAAUCUGAUUUCUGAAUUUAAUGCUUAUAUAUUAUAUAUAUAUAAAGAGAGAGAGUGGCUGGUAGAUAUAUGCUUAGACUUUGCUGUGUCCAUGGCUGCAGCGGCUUCCUUCUCUCUUCUUCGGUACUCUCUCUCUUCUCUAUGUAUAUACAUACAAACAAGUAUCCAUACUUAGAGAUAUAUGCAUUUAUGUCCAGAAAAAUUUGGAGUCAGUACUAUUAUUAAGACUCGCCUGGAUUCCUGGUUUUUUUUUUGUUUUUCUUUUUGUUUUCUUUUUUAAGCAGUAAUUGUGCAGCGAGUGCUCGGGCUGUUGCUGCUUUAAGGAAAUCGGAACCAUUCUCCUCUGCUUGCAAUUUUGUUCCAUUUCUUCUUUCUCGUCGCCCUUGCAGGUUCUGUUGUUUCNNNNNNNNNNNNNNNNUCAAUUUGAAAUCUUUUUUGGUAAAUUUUAAUUCUUUUGGC
rnacentral:lncRNA from 1 species